GGGAAUGUAAACAACGAAGAGUCCAGGCAUCGAUAAACCGUAUUUCUUCGGCUUGUUUGGAUUAUUUAACCGAGUCUUACUUGUGUAAAAGUGUUAUAACAUGUUUUUCUGUUAAAUAUGCUCUGUUUGUUUGGAUAAUUCCACAGGAACCGUCAACAGCGGACUUGAAAAGAUGAUGUGCGAGAUCAUAAAAUGGAUUUGCCUGCACUCAUGCGUCAUCACAGUAUAAAGGAUUUUAAUCUAAAAAGAAACACCGCACAUUUGCAGCUGUUCAGAAUGCAGUUCAUGCCAUAUGUUGUUAGAGUAAACGAUGAAAGAUAUGUUCAAACCAGUGUCAAAGAGUCCCAAGUCUGAAAUCAAGGUGCUUUUAUCAAAGAGAUCAGUGUUUGUCUUCUGUGCAUUGUUGACAUUUGUGGAACUGUUCAGUUUAUGAUUAUCUCUCUGACAAUAACUCUGACAUUUGAAUUUCAAUUUGAGCGUCGGAUUAGAAAGCCAAAUUAUAUGCAUGUAAAACAUUAUACAACUGUAAUAACAACAUUAAUAAACUUAAAUUUAAACAAAAUUCAUGAACAUGUGUCUGUGAUCUUUGCAUUGAAAUUCAUAAAUGCUGUGCAUUGAUACUUUUAAUGACUUUGUCUCAUGGUAAUGGAAUAUUCAAUUGUUAAACAUUGUUGAGGAAUCAUCUUGAAUUAAAAUAUUGUGAAUU